rnacentral:rRNA from 1 species
UGCAGUCGAGCGACAGACGAGGAGCUUGCUCCUUUGACGUUAGCGGCGGACGGGUGAGUAACACGUAGGUAACCUACCUAUAAGACUGGGAUAACUUCGGGAAACCGGAGCUAAUACCGGAUAAUAUUUCGAACCGCAUGGUUCGAUAGUGAAAGAUGGCUUUGCUAUCACUUAUAGAUGGACCUGCGCCGUAUUAGCUAGUUGGUAAGGUAACGGCUUACCAAGGCAACGAUACGUAGCCGACCUGAGAGGGUGAUCGGCCACACUGGAACUGAGACACGGUCCAGACUCCUACGGGAGGCAGCAGUAGGGAAUCUUCCGCAAUGGGCGAAAGCCUGACGGAGCAACGCCGCGUGAGUGAUGAAGGUCUUCGGAUCGUAAAACUCUGUUAUUAGGGAAGAACAAACGUGUAAGUAACUGUGCACGUCUUGACGGUACCUAAUCAGAAAGCCACGGCUAACUACGUGCCAGCAGCCGCGGUAAUACGUAGGUGGCAAGCGUUAUCCGGAAUUAUUGGGCGUAAAGCGCGCGUAGGCGGUUUUUUAAGUCUGAUGUGAAAGCCCACGGCUCAACCGUGGAGGGUCAUUGGAAACUGGAAAACUUGAGUGCAGAAGAGGAAAGUGGAAUUCCAUGUGUAGCGGUGAAAUGCGCAGAGAUAUGGAGGACACCAGUGCGAAGGCGACUUUCUGGUCUGUAACUGACGCUGAUGUGCGAAAGCGUGGGAUC